rnacentral:rRNA from 1 species
GACGAACGCUGGCGGCGUGCUUAACACAUGCAAGUCGAACGGAUCAUUUCAUUUCGGUGGGAUGGUUAGUGGCGAACGGGUGAGUAACGCGUAGACAACCUACCUCUCAGAUGGGGACAACAUCGCGAAAGCGGUGCUAAUACCGAAUGAUGUAACUUUUCUGCAUGGAAGAGUUACCAAAGGCGGCCUCUAUUUAUAAGCUGUCACUGAGAGAUGGGUUUGCGUCUGAUUAGCUGGUUGGCGGGGUAAUGGCCCACCAAGGCGACGAUCAGGAGCCGGUCUGAGCGGAUGAUCCGCCACACGGGGACUGAGACACGGCCCAGACGCCUACGGGAGGCAGCAGUGGGGAAUAUUGGACAAUGGGGGGAACCCUGAUCCAGCCAUGCCGCGUGUGUGAAGAAGGCCUUAUGGUUGUAAAGCACUUUAAGCGAGGAGGAGGCUCUUUUGGUUAAUACCCAAGAUGAGUGGACGUUACUCGCAGAAUAAGCACCGGCUAACUCUGUGCCAGCAGCCGCGGUUAAAA